UUGGCCUUUAUGACCAGGGCUACACACGUACUACAAUGGCCGGUACAAAGGGCAGCGACACAGCGAUGUGAAGCCAAUCCCGAAAAAGCCGGUCUCAGUCCGGAUUGGAGUCUGCAACUCGACUCCAUGAAGUUGGAAUCGCUAGUAAUCGCGGAUCAGCACGCCGCGGUGAAUACGUUCCCGGGGCCUU
rnacentral:rRNA from 1 species